GUCGAUAAUAACAUUUUUCUUCUUUCUGAACAUUUCUAUGGGCAGAUAUUAUCCUCCAAGCUAUAUGAUAUGGACAACACAUGAUUUAUGGAACGAAAAGAGAUCAUGUCAUCCAGAUAAUUAGAUUUCACCGCAUGAUGUUCUUUACCCCAGCCGAGCAUAGUGUGCUGCCGCGCCGUCGAUUUCCACGAAGUGGCCAGCCCGAGCCGAUUCCCCAAUGUGUCAAUGACUACGUCCGCUGCGUGAUCCUGUGGGACAUGACCAAUCCAUUGCCUUAUCAACACAUCGAGGGUGAAUUGAGUUCAGAGCUUUGAGC